rnacentral:rRNA from 1 species
GACGGAGGGGGCUAGCGUUGUUCGGAAUUACUGGGCGUAAAGGGCGCGUAGGCGGCUUGAUCAGUUGGGCGUGAAAGGCCUGGGCUCAACCCGGGAACUGCGUUGAAUACGGUCAAGCUUGAGUUCGGAAGAGGGGAGUGGAACUCCCAGUGUAGAGGUGAAAUUCGUAGAUAUUGGGAAGAACACCAGUGGCGAAGGCGGCGACCUGGUCCGGUACUGACGCUGAGGCACGAAAGCGUGGGGAGCAAACAGG